ACAGCCCGCACUCCAACCCCAUGUGUACCGAACCUUGUUGCUUUGGCGGGCCAGCGGGUAAUGCCGCUGCCGGCUCUCGCUGGCGAGUGCCCGCCAGAGAACACCUAAACUCUUGUUGUAACAGUGUCGUCUGAGCAUAAUUUUUAAUCGUUAAAACUUUCAACAACGGAUCUCUUGGUUCUGGCAUCGAUGAAGAACGCAGCGAAAUGCGAUAAGUAAUGUGAAUUGCAGAAUUCAGUGAAUCAUCGAAUCUUUGAACGCACAUUGCGCCCCUUGGUAUUCCGAGGGGCAUGCCUGUUCGGGCGUCAUUUGGAACCUCAAGCUCAGCUUGGUGUUGGGUGUCUGUCUCCGCCCCGCGGGGACUCGCCUCAAAAGCAUUGGCGGCCGGUACGUUGGCUUCGAGCGCAGCAGAAACGCGAACUCGAGGCCUGGCGGAUCGGCGACCAGAAGUAUCUUCUUUACAGCUUGACCUCGGAUCAGGUAGGGAUACCCGCUGAACUUAAGCAUAUCAAUAAGCGGAGGAA
rnacentral:rRNA from 1 species